AUUGAACGCUGGCGGCAGGCCUAACACAUGCAAGUCGAACGGUAACAGGAAGAAGCUUGCUUCUUUGCUGACGAGUGGCGGACGGGUGAGCAAUGUCUGGGAAACUGCCUGAUGGAGGGGGAUAACUACUGGAAACGGUAGCUAAUACCGCAUAACGUCGCAAGACCAAAGAGGGGGACCUUCGGGCCUCUUGCCAUCGGAUGUGCCCAGAUGGGAUUAGCUAGUAGGUGGGGUAACGGCUCACCUAGGCGACGAUCCCUAGCUGGUCUGAGAGGAUGACCAGCCACACUGGAACUGAGACACGGUCCAGACUCCUACGGGAGGCAGCAGUGGGGAAUAUUGCACAAUGGGCGCAAGCCUGAUGCAGCCAUGCCGCGUGUAUGAAGAAGGCCUUCGGGUUGUAAAGUACUUUCAGCGGGGAGGAAGGGAGUAAAGUUAAUACCUUUACUCAUUGACGUUACCCGCAGAAGAAGCACCGGCUAACUCCGUG
rnacentral:rRNA from 1 species